rnacentral:lncRNA from 1 species
AUGGCCAGGAAGGCGGGUACCCCAGGAACUAGAAUCUGCAAUGAACUGAGCUCUCCCCUUGAGGCUCCAGGAAGCGGGGGUGACCCCGCAGACGCCCCCUGGCGGCCCCCUGGUGACCCUGCGUCAGGCCUCUGGCCUCUAGAACUGACCUGUUGCUGUGGCUCCAGUUUGAGCUCACCUGUUGUGGCAGAUGAGGAGCUCAGACCCCUGUAUCUGACACUGUUCUCAGUGACUCCCAACCUUCUGGAGACGGAUCCUGUCUGGCCUCAUCCCCUGACAUUUCAUCCCAGACCUCUGAGCACCAGUGCCCGAAGCCCAGCCUGGCCACAUUCUGGAUGCAUGGGCUUCACGUCUGAGGCUCUGCAGUGGCAGAAAGAAGAGGAACAGCCCCAAUAUCUGGGAUGAAGUCCCUCUCUGCAUGCCCAGGCCUUUAUCUCUGGACUCAGGAGCCCUCAGGAACCUCUGCACCACAGCAGGUAGGUCAUAAUUUGUCCAGAAUCCAGGGUACUCAGGCUUCAAAUACACAAGGACUCAAGGUCAAAGUCCAAACAUGGAAAUUCUCUGUGUCUGUGUGUGGGGAGGAGCAGGCAUCUCACAGAGGACUCUCUUUCCAGGCUGUGCCUUGGCAGGAGGGUCCAAGCAAAUCAGAUGCAUUCUUUCUCCAGACUUUCCAGUCUCAGCCUGUUGGAUUAAUACAAGAUUGUCUUCUGGUUCUAUUAGUUUCUAUUGCUGCUGAAACAAAUGAUCAUCAAUAUGGCAACCCAGAGUAACAAACAUCUAUCAUCUCACAGUUCUGGAGGGUGGAAGUCCAGGAGGUUGGCAGCCCCCUUGAUCUGGGUCUCAUAGGACUGUAAUCUGGGUUUUGGACAUUUGGACUCUUCUCUGGAAGUUUUAGGAAGAAUCUGUUUAGGCUCAUUGAGGGUAUUGGGUGUUGGUGAAUUAAGCUCCUUGUGAUCAUUGUACUAAGGUCCCCAUUUCCUUGACGUCCAUUAACUGGGAGUCAUUCUUGCUUCUACAGGCUGCUUGCACUCCCUGGCUUGUGGACUACUUCAUCUUCAAAGCCAGUGAUGGUGGAAUGAGUCCUUCUCACUCCUUGAAUUUCUCUGCUGAUUCUCUUCUCCUCCAGACAGAAGAAUUUCCUACUUUUAGGGGCUCAUGCAAUCAUAUUGGGCCCACCCAGGUAAGCCAGGAUAAUGCCCCGAUUUUAAAGUUUGUGACCUUAAUGGCAUCCUUAAAAUCCCUUUUGCCAUGUGAUGUAACAGAUUCACAGAUUCUGGGGGACUGGGGCGUGGACAUAUUCUGGAAGCUGCUCCACCUAGUGGAGUAGCAGGGUUUGGGGAGGGGGAACAGCAGCUCUGGGAAGAUAGACAUUCCUCUAGGACACCUGCGAUUGUGCAGGAUCCCUUGAAAUUCCACCUCUGAUUCUCCUCCAGGAGUACUUCACAAACCCACAUUCUGGACUCGGCCAGGCUCCAUGUCUACCUGUGAUGAGUACCUAGCAUCUCUAGGGCCCUUGCGGGGGGCGGGGGCCGGCGCUGAUAAAGGGGAUGAAGAGGGUGUUCCUGUGCCUUGGAAUGGACAAAUCCCAAUGGAAACUAGGGAGUGCCAAGCUCUGUACUCAAGUCUGUGACAGCUUAAUUUGGUUUUGUUGUUAAUUUCCAUAUGAAUAUUGGCUAUGUGUUAUUCUCUUUCUGUGUGAGGUUUGAGCUCUUAAGAGAGAGAGUUGUGUAUUAUUUCUUUUUUUAAAAAAGAUUUUAUUUAUUUAUU